rnacentral:rRNA from 1 species
AGAGUUUGAUCAUGGCUCAGAUUGAACGCUGGCGGCAUGCCUUACACAUGCAAGUCGAACGGUAACAGGUCUUCGGAUGCUGACGAGUGGCGAACGGGUGAGUAAUACAUCGGAACGUGCCCGAGAGUGGGGGAUAACGAAGCGAAAGCUUUGCUAAUACCGCAUACGAUCUCAGGAUGAAAGCAGGGGACCGCAAGGCCUUGCGCUCACGGAGCGGCCGAUGGCAGAUUAGGUAGUUGGUGGGAUAAAAGCUUACCAAGCCGACGAUCUGUAGCUGGUCUGAGAGGACGACCAGCCACACUGGGACUGAGACACGGCCCAGACUCCUACGGGAGGCAGCAGUGGGGAAUUUUGGACAAUGGGCGCAAGCCUGAUCCAGCCAUGCCGCGUGCAGGAUGAAGGCCUUCGGGUUGUAAACUGCUUUUGUACGGAACGAAAAGACUCUGGUUAAUACCUGGGGUCCAUGACGGUACCGUAAGAAUAAGCACCGGCUAACUACGUGCCAGCAGCCGCGGUAAUACGUAGGGUGCGAGCGUUAAUCGGAAUUACUGGGCGUAAAGCGUGCGCAGGCGGUUAUGUAAGACAGAUGUGAAAUCCCCGGGCUCAACCUGGGAACUGCAUUUGUGACUGCAUAGCUAGAGUACGGCAGAGGGGGAUGGAAUUCCGCGUGUAGCAGUGAAAUGCGUAGAUAUGCGGAGGA